GAUGAACGCUGGUGGCGUGCCUAACACAUGCAAGUCGAGCGAUUCUCUUCGGAGAAGAGCGGCGGACGGGUGAGUAACGCGUGGGUAACCUGCCCUGUACACACGGAUAGCAUACCGAAAGGUAUGCUAAUACGAGAUAACAUGCUUUUAUCGCAUGGUAGAAGUAUCAAAGCUUUUGCGGUACAGGAUGGACCCGCGUCUGAUUAGCUAGUUGGUGAGGUAACGGCUCACCAAGGCGACGAUCAGUAGCCGACCUGAGAGGGUGAUCGGCCACAUUGGAACUGAGACACGGUCCAAACUCCUACGAGAGGCAGCAGUGGGGAAUAUUGCACAAUGGGCGAAAGCCUGAUGCAGCAACGCCGCGUGAGCGAUGAAGGCCUUCGGGUCGUAAAGCUCUGUCCUCAAGGAAGAUAAUGACGGUACUUGAGGAGGAAGCCCCGGCUAACUACGUG
rnacentral:rRNA from 1 species